CGCCCGCGCCGCCCCCCGAGCUGCUGCGCCCCGCGCACUCCACCAUCCUGCAGCGCCGACACAACACCGGCGCCCCUCGCCUACCGCCGAAGCCGGCCGCCAACAGCGCGGCGCGGACGUAGCAACGAAACAAGCACACUGCUACUCUGUAGAUAUACCACACAAACACUAUACAUAUACAAACAAACUAAUGUAUAAAUAUUCACACAGAAUUCACUGGAAAAAUCACUUCAAUUUCUGAACUAGGGUUUUUCUUUCUUGUAUAUGUUAAGAGGGGAAAAAUUUUGCCAAUUUUUGCGAAAUUUCUCCGCCGUCUACUUGGUGAAAUUUCGCUUUUAUAAAAUAAUAUUGUCGUCCGAUAAUCGUUCUAAUUGAUAACGAUUAUCGAACGAAUCGUCGUCCGGUAAUCGGCUACGGCGGCUGUUCUCAUGUAAGGAGAUCAGCCAGCUGCGCAGGACAUAUUGUCGUUUCGCGGACAUUUUAAAAAUGUUCGCACGCAAUGUGUUACUGUUUGCUAGAGCGAGGUGAAAUAUCGUCUUAACAAAUACAAGAAAAACUGGUCAAAGUUAAAAAAUACAAAAAAUGAAUCGUUUAGUUUACAGAUGGUCUAUUUUUGACAUCCAUAAUUUGUAGUGGUAUUUUGAGUCCAAUGCCACUUCAUAACUUAGUAGUUAUAUUAUAAUACUAUAGUUUUAUAAGUCUAUUUUAUAAAGCGGGCAACUCUAGCAAUGCCUACGGUGUUGUGUCCAUGGGGGCGAUAAUCCCAUGUACGUUUGCCCUUAUAAAAUAGAAAAAUAAAUUCACGUCAACAAUUGUCGUCUGUAAGCCAAACGAGUCGUUUCUUGUUUUAAUAUGACUGUCGAAUCUGCCGAAUGUAAUGCUGGUUCCACAUAUACCGAGAAUCCCCGUGAAUGAAAAUGUAGAUGGUUUUCGCGGGUGUUCUUGUGUAUCCAAGCCUGUAUUCCCGGGAAUUUUCAUGCCGAUUCCCGGGAAUCCGGGGUCUGGAGCCGCCGUAAUAUAUCGGCGGAUUUUAUGUCUAUAUUAUAGAAAAAACUUUGCUGUUUUUAUCCUUGGUCAAAUCUAUGCUGUGUGAAUAUUUAUCGACCUAUCUGAAUAGGUCUUGCCUAUGUAAACAUAUUGUACAUUGUAGACAUUCCAAAAACGACGUAUAUUUAAUAACGGUUAAACUUCGAUAAUUACUGCGACCACAUUACCCGGCCAAUCUUGAUACUAGCCUAGAAAGUGUGGCUAUUAUUAACUUUGCCCGGGCACUGUGGAGUUUACGUGUCGUUGAUAAUACAUAAAUAUUAUAUAAAAUGAAUGUACUCGCGUGUGAUUGCAGACAAACCCGGGUGCUUCCACUAUAUUCACGAUUAGUCAAUGCUUAUACAGUGUAAAUAAAUUAUAUAGGAAAUGGCUUUUAUUUUAAACAGUAACAAAAUAUAUUUACUCCGUAAGAGUGGGCAUUUAGCAAUCUUGAUAUGACUUAUUAUUUAAAAUUAAAAUUCGCCUAAAAAGCCUUGUAAAUACAAUAAUAAAAACUGUUUAAACAAUUGAAUUAUUAUUUUAAGCAGUAGUGCAAAAUACCUAUUUGUUUAAAAAGUCCUAUUAAGAUUGUUUGUAAAAAGUGCCUACUUAAACGGAGUAUAAUAAUUUCGCACAAAUCUUAUAUAUUUUACCAUAGAAAUAAUGUCUGCGAUCACACCAUAUAUAUAAAAAAACAAUAAUUUUAUAUGAAAAUAGGAAAUUAUUGCGUGCAGUGCCAACACAUAGUAAAAACAUAAUAUAAUAGGAAAUAUUAAAUAAGCAAACGAAACAUUUUGCUAAAUAUAUAUUAUGUAUACAUACUAGUAUAAUUUAUGUAUUGUAUUUAAUAAAUAAAUAUUCCGCUUCAUAAGUUGGAUAGGGUGUUAUUGAAAAUGGGCGUGGCUUAAACUUAAACAAAAUACUUUUAAAAGUUCUACAAAAAAUAAUAAUUUUGGUUUAGCAUCAAGAAUAAUGGUGUUAAGUGGUUUAUAACAAUAUAUUUUGAUAUUUACUGUCUAAACAAUUUAAAAAUUACAAUACAUUGAAAAGCGAUUUUCAUCCUACCACGCCUAAUUUUCAAAGCAUUUUAUUCACCUAUCUAUACUGAAAAAAAAACCCUAUUUGUAAGCGAAACCUCUCAAAUUGUGUUAAUGUAAGCAGCGUGAUGUUUCUCAAACAUUUAUAUACAUAUAUAUAUAAUACGAGUUUAUGAAUUAGCUCGCGAUAUGACGGUACGAUAAGUAGACUGCAUACCAUCGGUAAUUGACGAUUCCUUGCAGCUUCCACCACGAUCCACGAUAAACUGUAGGUCCCGGCUGUCAUUGAACAUCUUUGGCAGUCGUUACGGGUAGUCAGAAGCCAGUAAGUCUGACACCAGUCUAACCAAGGGGUAUUGUGUUGUCCAGAUAACUGGGUUGAGGAGGUCAGAUAGGCAGUCGCUUCUUGUAAAUAGUGGAAACUACUUCGCAAGUGAUAGAAGAGGGCUCUUAUCACUGCUACAGUAGUUUCUGAAACUAGUUUCUUUAGCUUUAUAAUAUUUCUAUAGAUUUCCUUCAUAGGGAACACCGGUACUCAGCUGCAUCCGGUUAGACUGGAAGCCGACCCCAACAUAGUUGGGAAAAGGCUAGGCUGAUGUUUCGAAGGCUACACGGAAGAUGCAAGCAGUCGUCAAUUGACGAUUACGUGCGUCAGGCCUAAUUGGCGAUACCGUCAAUAUUGCAUAUACCUCUUAUUUAUAAUAAAGUCAUUCUCUUAAUAAACUAAUUCUAAACUCUCUUUCUAUCAAGGUGAGGAAAAUUUGAUAGAAAGAGAGAGUGUGUUUAUUAAAUUAAUGACUUUGUUAUAUAAAUAAGAGGGCUUAUAUUUAAGCGUAAAUACACUGGAGUCGGAAUUGUUUUAUGUGAAAAGUACAAUUUUUGCCUAAAACUUAAAUAACCUUUAACCUUAAUGCCUUUAUAAAAUAUACUAACAUCCCAUCCGUUCCCAUAGUGUAAUUGGUUACCUCCCUUUUGGGAAGUCGGUUAAAUAUCAGGUACCAAGUACAUAAAAAUACUUUUUAAAUACAAAUUAAAUAAAUACAUUUUAACUUGUGUCUAACAUAUGUAAAAUGAUUCCAUCUCCAGCCAGCACGGAACUGAUAACUAUGACAACCUUGCAUUUAUGUGUACAUACUAAAUAUAUGCGUCGAGUGAUCGUGUGACACGGAACUGCUGCACCGAAGCCGGUGAAACGCAACCCAAUGCAUAGACCACGAAUUCCUUUAAAUAUUUUUUACAUCACCGGCAUCGGUUCAGCAGUUUCUAAAUAUAAUAUUAAUGACAAAUGCUCUUAGGUAUAAUUAUUAUUAUAUAUUGUUUAAAAAAACUGUUAAAUCAACAAUAAAUUCCUAAUGUGUUGCCAUAGUAAAAUAAUAUUUGAGAAUAUUAUUAUUAUACAAUGUUAUUAUUAGUGGAUAUUAUGUGAAAUUACCGGUCAAUGUGCGAUAGUAUUUUGCACUUUGACCGGUUAAUGUUGUUAAAAACCUUAUCUUCAGCAGCAGUGAUUAUUAUUAUUAAAUAUAAAUGAAAUAUAUAAACAGAAACAAUUGUAUAUUUAAAGAGAAAUGUAAAAUAAAUGACAAUGUUCUAGCGAAAUUGAAAUAUAAAGUGUACAGUUAGUUCGUAAGAGAGAUACAAUAAAUGUAUAUUAUUAUAUAUUAUAAUUAUGUAGAACGCAGAUUACCCGCUGUGUGGCUAAAGUUGAUAAUAGCCAAUGUAUUAUGGUGCUUACCAGUCGGAAUCUGAACUGUCAUCUUACCAAUUCAUAUUAUUUAUUUUCUUAAGUCUGACACCAGUCUUACCUAAGGGCCCCGGGCAAGGCUGGUGUCAGACUUGUUAUCAGACUAACUUUGCCUCCUAACAAUCUAAUACGCCUAGGCUAGGGUUGAGGAGGUCAGAUAGGCAGUCGCUUCUUGUAACUGGUUGGAACUACUCAGCAUGUGAUAGAAGAGGGCUCUUAUCACUGCUACAGUAGUUCCUGAGAUUAGACCGUUCAAACGUUCAAACUACUAUAGAUUUCUUCAUAAUAUAUAGAUUAUAUAUAGAAGACAAAAUUAUUAAUGAAGAAAUCUAUAUAUUUUCGAUAUAUUUGGUGACAGUUCAAUUCCAUACAACUUCCCAUUGUAAGCACAAGAUAGUCUUGUGCCUCGACCGGGAAGUGAACCCGCACCAACAAUACGGCUUGCUACCCAAGCUUGCAGUCCGAACUAGUAGUUCAUAUGUAAGCCCGCGUUUAUGAACGACUUUCGUUUUUUUUUUUUUUUUUGAAGUUUGUAGUGAUUUUUUUAUCAGAAAUUAGUUAAUGAAAUUCGUAUUGAGAACCUACUCCUUUUUUGGGAAGUCGGUUUAAAAUGGGCAGUAGAGAACUAUUUUGAAUCAAAUUCAAAACUAGAGAAGUUUUGAUAGAAUCAAAAUGGAUAGAUUUUCUAGUUUCACCCGCGUCCCGUGGGAACUACUUCGCAAGUGAUGACAGAGGGCUCUCUAUCGCUGGUGCAGUAGUUUCUGAGAUUGGUACGUUUGAACAAACAAACAAGCCAAACUCCUUUCUUUUUGGGACGUCGGUUGAAAAUCAGAAGAUAUCAAACUUUGUGUAAAUUGUUAACCAGCUCAAGCUUCUUGUUUCUUUUAUAGUGCCAAUAUUAAGUUUUAUUUUUUACAAUUUUAUAUACACACUACAGAUUAUAUAAUAUUUUCUUUAAGUCGUUCGGAAACGCGCGCCUUAGUUACAAAAAUGUCAAACAAAAAGUGUAAGAUAGAUAAAAUUUGUACAUAAUAUACAUAAAUACAUAUAUAUAUAUAAAUAUAUAGUAAACUAGUAGAUCGCAAAAGGGGUGGGAUUAAGACCACUGACGUAGUACAAAAAUAUAUAAAAUCAAAGCAAUUUCAACUUUAAUUAUAUAAAAAUAAAGUCCAAUUUUAAAACUGCGAUAUUUUAAAGCGAUUUCACUAAAAUAUGGAUUUGAAUAUAAUGAAGUAGGUACAAAUUAUAUUUAUGUAUAAGAUUUCAAUGUAUUUUAUGCUUAAAUAUUAACUAAAUCGCUUUAGAAUAGAGCUUGACGUGUGUAUUUACGAUAAGUAAAUACAAGACUUUAAAAAUUGUAACAAAAGCGAAACGCCUACUUAUAUUAUAAUUUCUUUUCAAUAGGGGAACAUGUUAUAUAUUACAACUUUAAAAGUAUAUAAAAACCGAGAACCUGCUUUUUUCGAAGUCGGUUAAAGAUUGAAUAUAUGAAAAUAAUAAUUCGCUUUUGCCACAACUUAAAAUAUUCACAAAAGCCCACCCCAGACCUAAAUACAAUAUAUAUAUAAAUAAUAAAAAGUAGAGUUUGUCGUUAUCUGGCCUAAAGCUAGGUAUAUAUAUAAAUAUAUAUAAAGUAUGCGAGACGCGCUAGCUCUAAGUGAUGACCACCUGUGAAUAUUAUUGUACAUAUUAUAUUAAAUGGAUAGCAAUUCAUAUAUACAGUUCA